ACGGGAGGCAGCAGUGGGGAAUAUUGCACAAUGGGGGAAACCCUGAUGCAGCGACGCCGCGUGAGUGAAGAAGUAUUUCGGUAUGUAAAGCUCUAUCAGCAGGGAAGAAAAUGACGGUACCUGACUAAGAAGCCCCGGCUAACUACGUGCCAGCAGCCGCGGUAAUACGUAGGGGGCAAGCGUUAUCCGGAUUUACUGGGUGUAAAGGGAGCGUAGACGGCUGUGUAAGUCUGAAGUGAAAGCCCCGGGCUCAACUCGGGAACUGCUUUGGAAGCUAGAUAGCUAGAGUGCAGGAGAGGUAAGUGGAAUUCCUAGUGUAGCGGUGAAAUGCGUAGAUGUUAGGAGGAACACCAGUGGCGAAGGCGGCUUACUGGACUGUAACUGACGUUGAGGCGCGAAAGCGUGGGGAGCGAACAGGAUUAGAUACCCUGGUA
rnacentral:rRNA from 1 species